GUCCCCGUAGCUCAGCCCGGAUAGAGCACCGGCCUCCGGAGCCGGGAGCACAGGUUCAAAUCCUGUCGGGGACA
rnacentral:tRNA from 1 species